CAGCAAGUCUUUGUUCUGUUCUGCUCCUCCUUGUUGCAUCCAGGUUUGCUCCUGAGCACACAGAAGCUGUGACUCUGGUCCCUUGUGUGCAGGACUCCUACAGCAGUGACAGAACCCUCCAGUGAUGCAGGCUGGGGGGCAGCAUCCCUCCGGCACCGGCUGAUCCCGAUCCCAUUGACCUAGGCUGAGAUUCAUCUUUAACUUUGACUUCAAGAUCCCAUGGAGCAACGAGGCUCUUGCCCAAGUAAGAUGCUGCAUUUGUCAUGGUCCAUCCACACUGUUGCAGCUCGAGGGGAGCACUGCAGUGGAUGUGGACGUGCCUGUGGGUACCAUGAGGUGACAAGCAGCAUGAAAAGGUGCCACCACUGCAGGUCCCCUUCCCAGGGCUGCUCAGCCACACAAGUUAGAGGUCAGAACACAGUGGUGAUGUGCUAUAGGAAGAAAACACUUUAUUUGUUUAAAAUAGGAAAAAAACCCACUCUCACAAGCACUUUCAAUGUCUUAGGAAAGUUAUUUAUGCAUAUGAGAUACAAAAUCAGAAACUUCUAAGGAAAUGCUUUUCUUUUUCAGUCAGCCACAGAGAAGGAGAUAAAGGAUGUGCUUCUUGUUGAUAAAGUGCUGGUGUCUGUGCAUCUGCAGCAUGUCAGGAUGUUCCUGGGAUGCCCAUCCCCAUGUCCUGCAUUGAUGCAGGACAAACCUCAGUGUCUGGUCCUGAUGGCUGUGAUGGUGGGACUGCUUGCAGUGGCAGAAAAUGCUUCCUCCCCACCUCCAGCGUGCUCCAUCCUUUCCCUAGAAAACCUGUGUUUAAUCUCACCAUCCAUUGGGAAAAUAGUUGAAACGGGUUUGGUGUAAAGAUGUAACACGUGGGGAUGGGGACCGGAGUUGAACUGCUCAUAGGAUCACCACUCAGGAGAGCCCCUUCCAGUGCCGCAGGCUUUGCCCCCUGCCGACGGAGCCCGUUUUGUUUCACCCCCCUCCUCUGCUGGUUGCCAUUCAUACCACCAGCCUUCCCCUGCCGUAGGUGUGAACUGUUUUUCUUCUUAAAUUGCAUUUAUUCUAACAAAUGUCUCAUGCAAACACAAUUGCAGGUUUGCUGGAGGGAGAUGCUGUUUGAAGGCAGCCUUGCACAAAGGCAGAUUUAUUCUCCUUCCAUUCAUUUGAAGCUAAAGUAAUAGCUCUAACUACAUCUGACUUAUUAUAAGCGCGUUACUGGGAACAAACCUGUAUUCUGCAUGUAUUCCCCUCUUUGUCAGCUCCACCUAGGCACUUUUUCUCCCUCUCUUCUAUUUUUUUACAAUAACAAAAUCAGAGCCUUGUCAGUUGAAAGUUUAUAUGCCCUAUUUAUAGCGCUCUGCUGUCUCCUGGCUUUUAUGUUCCAGCAUAAGUAGCUCUUUACCCUCUGCUCACAAGGAGCCUAGCGUGAGCCUGAACAGAGCCUGCAUCUCCGUAAUAGCUCUUUUAUCCUUCCCUGUGGAGGGCAUCAUGCCCUGCUUUCCACGGACUCACUGCUUUAGAAGUGAGCAACCACCCCUGUGGGCCAGAGGACUCUGCCUUGGGUGUUUUAGUACCUCUUUUGGUCAGCACAUCCUCAAACUUGGGGUGUUGCUUUAGGGAAUGGGGGUGUUUUGCUGGCCACCAGCAUGGUUUGUUGCUUGCAGCUAUUGAGCAUCUUGCUGGGAACCACUGGUUCAUCUUCUGGGGUGUGAUGGCUGGGAAAGCAUCACCACAGUUUGAUGCACAAAUAUGCUAUCCGCUUGGUGACUCUCGUUAAUAAGAAGAAUAUGAGUGUUCCUCCAGGGAGCUUCAGUGGUUACUUCAGUGAGUUUUGCAGUUAAGCUGGUACUUCAAUGCAGUUUGUGAAUUUAAGAGGUUUUUGUAGUCAGACAAGCCUGGAUUCAGCAUCGCCUCCUAUAUGGGCUGUGGCUGGCUCCUGAACUUCUCUGUUCCUUGUCUCCAGAUGUUAUUUGGGACGAGGACUCAGGACAGGCUUUGGCAGUGAUACUGCAGCAGCUCCCAGCACGGCGGUGGCUGAGAUGCAAAACAGAGACUGGUUUGCAAACAAGUCAGAGUCACCACGACCCACAGCAGCCUUGCAGCAGUCCCCCCAGAGCGUGCCAGCUCUCCUGGUGCUUCUCCAGCUCCGUUGCGUUGAUCCCAGCUGGCGGGCUGAGGGAGCAGAGCUGGUGGAGCUGGAUGCUGAUGCUCCCAUCCCACUCGGUGCUCCCGCGCCGGCACGCACAUACGCUCUUUUCCCCUCUCUCAGCAGAAGGCACAGUGUCUCCUCUGUUACUGUGUCCUUCGUGGCACGUCAUCAGGGUUUGGGCAGGACUCUCCCAUCUGUUCUGGGUGGAAAGAUUAGGAUAAAAGAGGCUAUUGUGCUCUUCUCCUUCCAACUAACUUCAAUCCAGUGAAGGGAAAACUCUACAUGCUAAACCCCCUGGAUCCUGCUCAGAUGAGAUGUUUACAGGACCAAUGACCAUUACAGAAUAAAAGUGCAACAUAGGAAAUAAAGUGACACAACCGGCUUUUGCCCAUUCCAGUGCUGGAAAACUGGGGUUGGGGAGCCUGGCCCCUCCACAGCGUUUUGCUUGCUGAGGAACGGGCCCGUUUGUUAAAUAUAGCUGAUGAGCUGUUCUUGAAUUGCACCUAAUUACAUCUCCUCUCCAGCACGCUGGCGCUUCCCGGCUCUUUGGAGCUACAAGGAGCUGGAUGAUUGCGGCUUGAGCUCCUCAGGUGAGCGAGAUGCUCAUUUGUUAUCCCCCUGUUUGGUUGCCUCUGACGGGGGAGGAGGG